rnacentral:rRNA from 1 species
AGUUUGAUCAUGGCUCAGAUUAAAACGCUGGCGGAUGCUUUACACAUGCAAGUCGAACGGCAGCACGGACUUCUUAUUCAGUGGCGAGGCGAACGGGUGAGUAAUGUAUCGAACCCAGUCAGUAGCGGGGAUAACUACAGGAAAGGUAGCUAAUACCGCACACGCCCCCUUCGGGGAAAGCGGGGACCUUCGGGCCUCGCACUAUUAGAGCGUGGCUUGAUACGGAUUAGCGAAGUUGCGGGUGAAACGGCUCACUAAGGCGACGAUCCGUAGCUGGUUUGAGGACGACCAGCCACACUGACUGAGACACGCCCAGACUCCACGAGGCAAGGUGGGGAAUUUUUGGACAAUGGGGAAACCCCGAUCCAGCUAUCCGCGUGUGCGAUGAAGGCCUUCGGGUUGUAAAGCACUUUUGGCAGGAAGAAUGGCACAUAAUACCCUUCGUGCAACUGAUUGGUACCUGCAGAAUAAGCACCGGCUAACUACGUGCCAGGCAGCCGCGGUAAUACGUAGGGUAAGCGUUAAUCGGAAUUACUAAGUGAAGCGUGCGCAGGCGGUUCGAAGAAAGAUAACCAGAGCUUAACUUUUGAACCGCAUUUUUUAACUACCGAGCUAGAGUGUGUCAGAGGGAGGUAGAAUUCGCGUGGUGUGCAGUGAAAUGCGUGUAGAUAUGCGGAGGAACACCGAUGGCGAAGGCAGCCUCCUCUGGGAUAACAUCUUCGACGUGCUCAUGUGCGACGAGCGGGGAGCAACAGGAUUAGAUACCCCAUAGUCCUGCGCCCUAAACGAUGUCAACUAGCUGUUGGGCCUGCCUUGGUAGCGCAGCUAACGCGUGAAGUUGACCGCCUGGGGAGUACGGUCGCAAGAUUAAAACUCGUAAAAGGAAUUGACGGGGACUCCGCACAAGCAAAAGAUGAUGGAUGACCGAUGCACGCGAAAACCUUACCUACCCUUGACAUGUCUGGAAUCCCGAAGAGAUUUGGGGGUGCUCGCAAGAGAACCGGAACACAGGUGCUGCAUGGCUGUCGUCAGCUCGUGUCGUGAGAUGCUGUUGUCCCGCAACGAGCGCAACCCUUUAAGCUAUUAGUUUGCUACGAAAGGCACCUAUCGAGACUGCCGGUGACAAACCGGAGGAAGGUGGGAUGAUGUCAAGUCCUCAUGGUCUUUAUGUGGCAGGGCUUCACACGUCAUACAAUGGUCGGCCGCCAACCCGCGAGGGGAGCCAAUCCCAGAAACCCGAUCAGUCCGGAUCGCAGUCUGCAACUCCAUCGCGGAAGUCGGAAUCGCUAGUAAUCGCGGAUCAGCAUGUUCGGGUGAAUACGUUCCCGGGUCUUGUACACACCGCCGUCACAAUUCAUGGGAGUGGGUUUUAUCAGAAGGGAAGCGCCUAACCGUAAGGAGGGCGAUUACCGUAGGAUUCUCCAUGACUGGAAGGAAGUCGUGAACAAGGUGAAG